rnacentral:lncRNA from 1 species
GGGAGUGGCUGGGUUGGGAGGCAUCUUUUUAUUCUAUAUAAGAUGGUCAGGAAACCCUCCAUGACAAGGUGCCAUGAGAGCAGGACCUGAAGGAAGGGAAGGAGGGGUCACACAUGUCACUGGAAGAAGAUUAUUCCAAGGAGUGGGAACAGUCAGUGCAAAGGCCCUGGGGCAGGAACUUACUUGGCAGAUUUCAGGGUCAGGAAGCCAUUGUGAUGGCAACAGAUGGGAUGAGGAGGAUGACAUGAGAGUGCAGGCAGGAACCAGUUUGUACAGGACAGUGCUGCUGAAAGGUGAUCUGCAAGGAGCCAAGGAGGUUGGGUCAGAAAGUAGAUCAACCACAUCACUAAGUGUCCUGUUUAUUUCGGUGGACACUUUCUUCUUUGCAAGACUUUCUCCACCAAAGCACAGAGUUGACCUUCCAGUGGAAACUCCCCGUCUUGAUGCGGACCAGCACUGUGAGCAUCACUAACCUGGGCCUGUGGGCAGAGGUGUGGUGACCAUGUGUGUGGAAUGAGGACACUAUGGGGGCUCGGGCCACUGUGGUGGGGCAUCUUCCACAUCUCUUUCAAGUCGUUGGACUUCAGCUCACUGUGUUUCUCAGAUCCUAGGAACGAAGGCAAGGUAGGGGGCAAACUGGGACCCCAGAAGGAUCUGGGCAGUCAGGUCAUCUCCUGCUGUAGAGGCCAAGUCAGAAGGGAGGGAGGAAAAUUGGAAAUGUUCAUUUGGAGGAUUGUAGCCAGAUAAGGAAAGAAAUUAGAGGAUUUGAAAAUAUGGUGAGGAUUGACACUGUGUGCAAGAUGACAGGAUCAGCUAAAUACAGGCAGGGAAUGUCAAAGUAAAAAUUGUGCCAAAGUUAAAGAAGCAGAAAGACUUUAUUCAAGCUCAAAGAAAUAGGGGAGAAACUGAACUCAACACCUGAAACAAAAGGCUGGAGAGAUUUUAAGAGUGGGUAGAGGGUAAUGUAGGUCACUUGUGUUUACUAAUCAGCCUUACUCUAAAGAAAAGUAAAACUUCUCAUAAAUUCCUGACAGGAGGUCAUUUUACAUCUUGGUUGUAUAGGGACCUACUGAAGUUAGUCUCCCGCCCUCCCUCAGAGACUAUGAGGCAGGGGCAGCAUCUUCCAGGAGGGUUACAUGUCAAAGGGUUGGGCCCAAGCCCUUGGGAAAGACAUUCCCUGGAUCCUAAAACUGGGAAGAGAAUUCUUUUUCUUUUUGAGGAAGAUUAGCCCUGAGCUAACAUCUGCCGCCAACUCCCUUUUUGCUGAGGAAGACUGGCCCUGAGCUAACAUCCGUGCCCAUCUUCCUCUACUUUAUAUGUGGGAUGCCUACCACAGUAUGGCUUGCCAAGCGGUGCCAUGUCCACACCCGGGAUCUGAACGGGUGAACCCCGGGCCGCUGAAGCGGAAUGUGUGCAUUUAACCGCUGCACCAGCGGGCCGGCCCCUGGGAAGAAAAUUUUAAGGAGACGAAAGUGCAGAGAAAGAAUCUGCAAUUACAGGUUGCAAUUACAUUUCUAAAGGAAAUGCUCUGAGAAAAUGGAGGCCAGGGGCCUAGAGUCAGGACGAACUGCCUGAAGUUGAAUGAGUCUGAGGGGAACAUCAGGCCUCUAGGUCAUGACAAAACUGCUUUCUGCACAGUGGGAGGGAAACACAACCCCAUCUCUAUCAGCCAAGACCCAGUCUGCAUCUCCAUCAGUUCCCUGCAAUUUGUAAAGAUGUGCAAAACAGCAGAGAGACGGUGAACAGGGCCCGAAUCUGAUCAUCAGAAGGCUGUGCUUGCUGGACUUUUCCAUGAGACUCAACAUUUCUCUGACAGUCACUUCCAUUUGAUCAAAGAUCAUCUCCGAGGAAGAGUGUUCUUGAUCCUGAAACAAGGCUGCUCUCACUCGAUUUGGCCUGAUUUUACACAGGUGCUGUGGAACUGCACACUCACCACACAGUUUCCUCUGAUGCAGGGUUUCCUAAGGAACCUCAGAUGGAACUUUUAACAGCCUCUUGACAUUAGAAAUCCUGGGCAUCAGGACUCACCUGCAGUGUCUAUAGCUUUGAGUGAGGUUCUCUCUUCCCCAG